GAUGAAGAACGUAGCGAAAUGCGAUACGUAAUGUGAAUUGCAAAUUCAGUGAAUCAUCGAGUCUUUGAACGCACAUUUCGCCCCCUGGUAUUCCGGGGGGCAUGCCUGUCCGAGCGUCAUUGCUGCCCUCAAGCACGGCUUGUGUGUUGGGCCCCGUCCUCCGAUCCCGGGGGACGGGCCCGAAAGGCAGCGGCGGCACCGCGUCCGGUCCUCGAGCGUAUGGGGCUUUGUCACCCGCUCUGUAGGCCCGGCCGGCGCUUGCCGAUCAACCCAAAUUUUUAUCCAGGUUGACCUCGGAUCAGGUAGGGAUACCCGCUGAACUUAAGCAUAUCAAUAAGCGGAGGA
rnacentral:misc_RNA from 1 species